rnacentral:rRNA from 1 species
UGCGCUGGCGAUGGUUCAUUCAAAUUUCUGCCCUAUCAACUUUCGAUGGUAGGAUAGUGGCCUACCAUGGUUUCAACGGGUAACGGGGAAUUAGGGUUCGAUUCCGGAGAGGGAGCCUGAGAAACGGCUACCACAUCCAAGGAAGGCAGCAGGCGCGCAAAUUACCCAAUCCCGACACGGGGAGGUAGUGACAAUAAAUACUGAUACAGGGCCCUUUUGGGUCUUGUAAUUGGAAUGAGUACAAUUUAAAUCCCUUAACGAGGAACAAUUGGAGGGCAAGUCUGGUGCCAGCAGCCGCGGUAAUUCCAGCUCCAAUAGCGUAUAUUAAAGUUGUUGCAGUUAAAAAGCUCGUAGUUGAACCUUGGGCCUGGCUGGCCGGUCCGCCUCACCGCGUGCACUGGUUUGGCCGGGCCUUUCCUUCUGGGAAUCUGCAUGCCCUUUACUGGGUGUGUUUGGGAACCAGGACUUUUACUUUGAAAAAAUUAGAGUGUUCAAAGCAGGCCUUUGCUCGAAUACAUUAGCAUGGAAUAAUAGAAUAGGACGUGCGGUCCUAUUUUGUUGGUUUCUAGGACCGCCGUAAUGAUUAAUAGGGGUAGUCGGGGGCAUCAGUAUUCAAUUGUCAGA